UAGCUCAAACAGGUAGAGCACAUGCUUAGCAUGCACGAGGUCCUGGGUUCAAUUCCCAG
rnacentral:tRNA from 1 species